AAACUUUCAGAAACAGAUUCUUCGGAUGACGAUUCUGAAACGUUUAGUGGCGGAUGGGCGAGUAACACGUGAGGAACCUGCCUUUCACAGGGGAAUAACACUGGGAAACCAGUGCUAAUACCGCAUAAUGUAUUAAAGUGGCAUCACAUUAAUACCAAAGAUUUUAUCGGUGAAAGAUGGCCUCGCGCCUGAUUAGCUAGUAGGUGAGGUAACGGCUCACCUAGGUGAUGAUCAGUAGCCGGACUGAGAGGUUGAUCGGCCGCAUUGGGACUGAGACACGGCCCAGACUCCUACGGGAGGCAGCAGUGGGGAAUAUUGGGCAAUGGGCGCAAGCCUGACCCAGCAACGCCGCGUGAAGGAAGACGGUCUUCGGAUUGUAAACUUCUUUAGACAGGGACGAAACAAAUGACGGUACCUGUAGAAUAAGCCACGGCUAACUACGUGCCAGCAGCCGCGGUAAUACGUAGGUGGCGAGCGUUAUCCGGAAUUACUGGGUGUAAAGGGUGUGUAGGCGGCACUGUAAGUCAGAUGUGAAAUCUCCCGGCUCAACCGGGAGCGUGCAUCUGAUACUGCAGUACUUGAGUGAUAGAGGGGAAAGCGGAAUUCCUAGUGUAGCGGUAAAAUGCGUAGAUAUUAGGAGGAACACCAGUGGCGAAGGCGGCUUUCUGGCUAUUAACUGACGCUGAGGCGCGAAAGCGUGGGGAGCAAACAGGAUUAGAUACCUGGUAGUCCACGCCGUAAACGAUGAAUGCUAGAUGUGGGAGGUAUCGACCCCUUCCGUGUCGCAGCUAACGCAAUAAGCAUUCCACCUGGGGAGUGCGCCGCCAAGGCUG
rnacentral:rRNA from 1 species